UACGUAGGGUGCGAGCGUUAAUCGGAAUUACUGGGCGUAAAGCGUGCGCAGGCGGUUUUGUAAGCCAGAUGUGAAAGCCCCGGGCUUAACCUGGGAAUGGCAUUUGGGACUGCAAGGGCUGGAGUGUGGCAGAGGAGACUGGAAUUCCUGGUGUAGCAGUGAAAUGCGUAGAUAUCAGGAGGAAUACCGAUGGCGAAGGCAGGUCUGCUGGCUGACACUG
rnacentral:rRNA from 1 species